ensembl:snRNA U6 U6 spliceosomal RNA
GUGCUCGCUUCGGCAGCACAUAUACUAAAAUUGGAACGAUACAGAGAAGAUUAGCAUGGCCCCUGCGCAAGCAUAUACUUAAAAUACUUUUAAAUGCAGGUAGAUAUC